GGAACUGCUGUCGACAGGCUCCAGUGGGCUGAGUACAGAUGACUACUUUUCCCUGGAGGAAGGCUACCCCUACGACCCCAGUCUGCUUGGGGCCGCACACUAUUGGAACCAGAACAGAGCCAAAGAAGUCAUGUGUAAACGCUGUUCUCCUGUCAUUAUUGAUAACACAAACAUGCAAGCUUGGGAAAUGAGGCUAUACGUUAAACUGGACGAGCGUUAUCAGGUGCGGCAGGCCUUUGCCCAGAGGCUCCAUAGGGGUCUAUGUCGUCUGCCCCUGCCGCUGGAGUACCUGCCUGUGUUCGCUCUGUGCGCCAAGGAACCCAUGAAGGAGCGGCGGGCGCAUGCACGUCAGUGACUGGUCAAAAACAUCAACUCAGGAGGAAGUACCUGAAACAGCACGCCGCCAUCAGUGAGAACCUGUUCUCGCUGCUGCCAGAGUACGUGGUGCCAUACACCAUCCACCUUCAUGGAAAAAUGUACCGAUAAAUUGCCCAGAAAUGCCACCAUUGUACACACCUCCCCACACCACCUCCCCACACCAAUGAGCAAAAGCAUAUAUUGUUUACCUUAAACAAAGGAUCAGUGUGGUUUCAUGAGAUAACAAAUUGAUAGCAUACAUUGAAGGCUAAAUUGUAAUGGUGAUGUAAAAAAUGUGCAACUCAAUAACAUACAUAAGCCUACAUAAGAAAGUAAAUAAAUUAACAACUAAUUAAAUACUAAAUUGAAGUCACUGGUAUUUUAGAUACAGUAUUCAAUUGCUCAUACAAUUAAGCAGGAUUAAGCAGUCUCAAAGUAGGCCAGCGGAUAGGUGAAUUAAUUGUUCCAUUUCGUGAUAAAAGUAUCAACUUGGUACACUAAUACUGGAUACCUAGUACUUAAGAAACGUGUUGAAAAUUCCAAAUUGUUUGCAUAGUUAACUUAGACACAGCUCUGAUACACUUACCCCACUAGACAUGCCACCAGGGGUCUUUUCACUGUCCCCAAAUCCAGAACAAAUUAAAGAAAACGUACAGUAUUAUAUAGAACUCCCUUCCAUCUCAUAUUGCUCAAAUGAACAGCAAUCCUGUUUUCAAAAAAUAGAAAGCAACACCUCACAGCACAACGCCUCUCCCCUUUUUGACCUAGGUAAUUUGUGUGUAUGUAUUGAUAUGUAGUUCUGUCCUUGAGCUGUUCUUGUUUAUUAAUUGUCUAUUAAUGUUCUGUAUUAUGUCAUGUUUCAUGUUUUGUGUGGACCCUAGGAAGAGUAGCUGCUGCUUUCGCAACAGCUAAUGGGCAUCCUAAUAAAAUACAGCAAAAACAUACCUUCGGGAACAUUGUAAAGAUUAGCAGCAGUCUGGGAUGCCUGUCAUGUCUGCCAUCCAGAUUUCCUGUUUUAAGAAAAUGGGGUAAAAUCAUUCCAAACAAUAUCAAAAUGACUUUGUACUGUUAUCUACCCACUAAAUAAACCCCACAGACAAUAUUAAACCAAUAUCUCA